GAGAAGGUGCACCUGCCAGCCGAAAAAGAAGAUAAAGAAAAGGUAAUUAUGAUUGCGGGACCCACGGCUAGGAUUUGUUUGGCUAAAAAUCCAUUUGGGUUUGGCUGUUCACAUGGCCUUGCUUUUUAUUUGUGGCUGAUGUAGUUUCUCGGUGAUAUGUUUGGAAAGUAAAGAUGAGAUAAAGAAAAGAGAAAAAUUAGAGAGAGGAAAGAUACAGAGUGAGGAAGAGUGCACACAUACAAAAGGCCGAGAGUUUGAGAAAGAGAGAGAGGAGCUGAGUUUUCAGAGAGUGGUCCGAGAGGUUGCAGAGGAGGCCGGGAGCUUGAGGCUUAAAUGAUCUAGUGAGAAAAAUUCUUAUUCAGGGAUAUGGAAGGGAAGUGGUGGACGACGUUCCUCCACAGGGUCCGAUGGGUUAGUGGACUGUUUUGACAUAUUUUGUAGCUAUGAUCUCAUUUUAUUAUUAUUAUUAUUCUUA